UACGUAGGGCGCAAGCGUUGUCCGGAAUCACUGGGCGUAAAGCGCACGUAGGCGGAUUGUUAAGUCAGGGGUGAAAUCCUGGAGCUCAACUCCAGAACUGCCUUUGAUACUGGCGAUCUCGAGUCCGGGAGAGGUGAGUGGAACUCCGAGUGUAGAGGUGAAAUUCGUAGAUAUUCGGAAGAACACCAGUGGCGAAGGCGGCUCACUGGCCCGGUACUGACGCUGAGGUGCGAAGGCGUGGGGAGCGAACGGG
rnacentral:rRNA from 1 species